rnacentral:rRNA from 1 species
AGAGUUUGAUCCUGGCUCAGGACGAACGCUGGCGGCGCGCUUAAUACAUGCAAGUCGAACGGGCCACCUUCGGGUGGUCAGUGGCGGACGGGUGAGUAACACGUGGGUGACCUGCCCUCGAGUGGGGAAUAACGCUGCGAAAGCAGUGCUAAUACCGCAUACGCUUAGUGUUUCACACAUUAAGUAAAGCUUCACGCGCUCGAGGAGGGGCCUGCGGCCGAUUAGCUAGUCGGUGGGGUAAUGGCCUACCGAGGCUCCGAUCGGUAGCUGGUCUGAGAGGAUGACCAGCCACACUGGGACUGAGACACGGCCCAGACUCCUACGGGAGGCAGCAGUAAGGGAUCUUCCACAAUGGGCGCAAGCCUGAUGGAGCGACGCCGCGUGCACGAUGAAGCCCUUCGGGGUGUAAAGUGCUUUUCUCGGAGAUGACCACAGACAGUAUCCGAGGAAUAAGCUUCGGCUAACUACGUGCCAGCAGCCGCGGUAAUACGUAGGAAGCAAGCGUUGUCCGGAAUCACUGGGCGUAAAGCGCGUGUAGGCGGACCCGCAAGUCUGCUGUGAAAGCCCUCGGCUCAACUGGGGGAGGUCGGUGGAAACUGCGGAUCUGGAGGCCGGUAGAGGGGGGUGGAAUUCCCGGUGUAGUGGUGAAAUGCGUAGAGAUCGGGAGGAACACCUGUGGCGAAAGCGGCCCCCUGGGCCGCGCCUGACGCUGAGACGCGAAAGCGCGGGGAGCGAACGGGAUUAGAU